rnacentral:rRNA from 1 species
CACGUAGGGCGCGAGCGUUGUCCGGAAUUAUUGGGCGUAAAGAGCUCGUAGGCGGCCUGUUGCGUCCGCUGUGAAAGCCCGGGGCUUAACCCCGGGUCUGCAGUGGAUACGGGCAGGCUAGAGGUAGGUAGGGGAGAAUGGAAUUCCCGGUGUAGCGGUGAAAUGCGCAGAUAUCAGGAGGAACACCGGUGGCGAAGGCGGGUCUCUGGGCCAUUACUGACGCUGGAGGAGCGAAAGCGUGGGGAGCGAACAGG